AGGUCUUAGGAUACUGGUGACGGUCUUCUAUCUGGGCACUGCUACAUAUGCCCCUGCAUUGGCAAUAGAGGCAGUGACUGGUGUCCCGUUGUGGGCUAGCAUCGUAGUCAUCAUGGCCGUGUCUACUUUAUAUACCUCUCUGGGCGGAAUGAAGGCAGUGCUGUGGACGGACGCUCUUCAGUUCUUUAUCAUGAUUGCAGGAAUCCUGGUCGUGCUUAUAAAGGGUUGGGUGACGAUAGGCGGGCCGACCAGAAUGUGGGAAACCAG